rnacentral:rRNA from 1 species
GACGAACGCUGGCGGCGUGCCUAAUACAUGCAAGUCGAGCGAAGUUUUUCUGGUGCUUGCACUAGAAAAACUUAGCGGCGAACGGGUGAGUAACACGUAAAGAACCUGCCUCAUAGACUGGGACAACUAUUGGAAACGAUAGCUAAUACCGGAUAACAGCAUUUCUCGCAUGAGAGAUAUUUAAAAGUUGGUUAUGCUAACACUAUGAGAUGGCUUUGCGGUGCAUUAGCUAGUUGGUGGGGUAAAGGCCCGCCAAGGCGACGAUGCAUAGCCGACCUGAGAGGGUGAUCGGCCACACUGGGACUGAGACACGGCCCAGACUCCUACGGGAGGCAGCAGUAGGGAAUCUUCCGCAAUGGGCGAAAGCCUGACGGAGCAACGCCGCGUGAGUGAAGAAGGAUUUCGGUUCGUAAAGCUCUGUUGUUAGGGAAGAAUGGAUAUGUAGUAACUAUACAUGUAAGAGACGGUACCUAACCAGAAAGCCACGGCUAACUACGUG